GGCGAACGCUGGCGGCGUGCUUAACACAUGCAAGUCGAACGGAAAGGCCCUGCUUUUGUGGGGUGCUCGAGUGGCGAACGGGUGAGUAACACGUGAGUAACCUGCCCUUGACUUUGGGAUAACUUCAGGAAACUGGGGCUAAUACCGGAUAGGAGCUCCUGCUGCAUGGUGGGGGUUGGAAAGUUUCGGCGGUUGGGGAUGGACUCGCGGCUUAUCAGCUUGUUGGUGGGGUAGCGGCUUACCCCGGCCUUGCCGGGUAGCCGGCCGGCGAGGGUGACCGGCCACAUUGGGGCUGGGGUACGGCCCAGACGCCUACGGGAGGCAGCAGGGGGGAAUAUUGCACAAUGGGCGGAAGCCGGAUGCGGCGACGCCGCGUGCGGGAUGGCGGCCUUCGGGUGGUAAACCGCUUUCGGCUGUGACGAAGCGGGAGUGACGGUAAUGGGUAAAGAAGCACCGGCUAACUACGUG
rnacentral:rRNA from 1 species